rnacentral:tRNA from 1 species
CGCGGCGUGGAGCAGUGGUAGCUCGUCAGGCUCAUAUCCUGAAGGUCGCAGGUUCGAAUCCUGCCGCCGCUACCG